rnacentral:lncRNA from 1 species
AAGAAAGUCGCUAGGCCCAGGGGAGAUUUUUGCUCCUCGUUAUUGUAGCUAAAGCUGCUUAAGAUUUAAUGAAUUGAAGAGAGCAUUGAAUCUCGAGACUAAAAUAUUGAGAGCUCCAGUGCCGGAUCCAUUUGAAGCCCCAAUUUUGAAAGUGCCCUUGUUUUGGUAGGUGGGAUUUUAUUAUACUCGUAUUUCUUUUUGUAAUUUAUAAUAUGGUUUCAACACAGAGAUCCAAUUAACAUUCACUUUACAGUUUUAUUAAAUUAUUAGCUCCACCUUUCUCAGGUUACUUGCUCUCAAUAGGAUUAAAGGCGAAAUCCAUUUUGAGUUUGAUCAACUUUCCUUUAUUAAUUUGAGUUAAAAAUCUCAGAGUAAGACGAGCUUUCCUUAAAUUACGUUGGAUGAAAUUGAACUUUUUUUAAUACUAAUUAAAAAACUAUUCCAGUCAGAUAAUCAAACCUGAAUUCGUUUAAUCUAAAUAGGAACAUAAAAUAUACUGUUAUUCUUCAUAUGCUCCUAGAUUCGUGUGAACGAGAAACCAUGCAUUCCAAAUUAAACAGCUCUUCUAAAACAAGAGUGUUACUGUCAAAGUCUUUCAUCAUCAUCCAUGAUCAACAACAUUCAAGCCAUUUACAGAUCCCAUGAAUUUCUGGGUUUUUACAGAAUUUUUAAGGACAAGUGAAAGCAUCGCCCAGUUCCAUCCACUUUUCUUGAGCUUGUCCGUCGCCGCCAACCAAAGCCUGAAAAGCACGUUUGACUCUGUUUUUGCACUUGUGAUGACGGAUUCGUCUAAGAACAGCCUCUUUCUCCAG